UACGGAGGAUGCAAGCGUUAUCCGGAAUGAUUGGGCGUAAAGCGUCCGCAGGUGGCAAUGUAAGUCUGCUGUCAAAGCGUCUGGCUCAACCAGAUAAAGGCAGUGGAAACUACAUAGCUAGAGUAAGGUAGGGGUAGAGGGAAUUCCUGGUGUAGCGGUGAAAUGCGUAGAGAUCAGGAAGAACACCGGUGGCGAAAGCGGUGCUCUGGGCCGGUACUGACGCUGAGGAGCGAAAGCGUGGGUAGCAAACAGG
rnacentral:rRNA from 1 species